rnacentral:rRNA from 1 species
GACAUGUCUGGAAACCCGAAGAGAUUUGUCCGUGCUCGCAAGAGAACCGAAACACAGGUGGGGCAUGGCCGUCGUCAGCUCGUGUCGUGAGAUGUUGGUUUAAGUCCCGCAACGAUCCCAACCCUUGUCAUUAGUUGCUUCGCAAGAGCACUCUAAUGAGACUGCCGGUGACAAACCGGAGGAAGGUGGGGAUGACGUCAAGUCCUCAUGGCCCUUAUGGGUAGGGCUUCACACGUCAUACAAUGGUAGGGACAGAGGGUCGCCACCCCGCGAGGGGGAGCCAAUCUCAGAAAACCGAUCGUAGUCCGGAUCGCAGUCUGCAACUCGACUGCAUGAAGUCGGAAUCGCGGAGAAAUCCCGGCC